AGUGAACGCUGGCGGCAGGCCUAACACACGCAAGUCGAACGGCAGCACAAGAGAGCUUGCUCUCUGGGUGGCGAGUGGCGGACGGGUGAGGAAUGCAUCGGAAUCUGCCCAUUUGUGGGGGAUAACCUCGGGAAACCGGGACUAAUACCGCAUACGACCUACGGGUGAAAGCAGGGGAUCUUCGGACCUUGCGCAGAUGGAUGAGCCGAUGCCGGAUUAGCUAGUUGGAGGGGUAAAGGCCCACCAAGGCGACGAUCCGUAGCUGGUCUGAGAGGAUGAUCAGCCACACUGGGACUGAGACACGGCCCAGACUCCUACGGGAGGCAGCAGUGGGGAAUAUUGGACAAUGGGCGCAAGCCUGAUCCAGCCAUGCCGCGUGUGUGAAGAAGGCCUUCGGGUUGUAAAGCACUUUUGUUGGGAAAGAAAAGCAGCCGGUUAAUACCCGGUUGUCAUGACGGUACCCAAAGAAUAAGCACCGGCUAACUUCGUG
rnacentral:rRNA from 1 species